AAGGAAUUGACGGGGACCCGCACAAGCGGUGGAUGAUGUGGAUUAAUUCGAUGCAACGCGAAAAACCUUACCUACCCUUGACAUGGCUGGAAUCCCGGGAGAGAUUUGGGAGUGCUCGAAAGAGAACCAGUACACAGGUGCUGCAUGGCUGUCGUCAGCUCGUGUCGUGAGAUGUUGGGUUAAGUCCCGNAACGAGCGCAACCCUUGUCAUUAGUUGCUACGAAAGGGCACUUUAAUGAGACUGCCGGUGACAAACCGGAGGAAGGUGGGGAUGACGUCAAGUCCUCAUGGCCCUUAUGGGUAGGGCUUCACACGUCAUACAAUGUUACAUACAGAGCGCCGCCAACCCGCGAGGGGGAGCUAAUCGCAGAAAGUGUAUCGUAGUCCGGAUUGUAGUCUGCAACUCGACUGCAUGAAGUUGGAAUCGCUAGUAAUCGCGGAUC
rnacentral:rRNA from 1 species